rnacentral:rRNA from 1 species
GGCGAACGCUGGCGGCGUGCUUAACACAUGCAAGUCGAGCGGUAAGGCCCUUUCGGGGGUACACGAGCGGCGAACGGGUGAGUAACACGUGGGUGACCUGCCCUUAGCUCUGGGAUAAGCCUGGGAAACUGGGUCUAAUACCGGAUAUGACUCCAUGACGCAUGUUGUGGGGUGGAAAGCCUUGUGCGGCUGGGGAUGGGCCCGCGGCCUAUCAGCUUGUUGGUGGGGUGAUGGCCCCACCAAGGCGA